CCUACGGGAGGCAGCAGUGGGGGAUAUUGCACAAUGGGGGGAACCCUGAUGCAGCGACGCAGCGUGGGUGAAGAAGCGCCUCGGCGCGUAAAGCCCUGUCAGCAGGGAAGAAAAUGACGGUACCUGAAGAAGAAGCCCCGGCUAACUACGUGCCAGCAGCCGCGGUAAGACGUAGGGGGCAGGCGUUAUCCGGAUUUACUGGGCGUAAAGGGGGCGCAGACGGGGUUGCAAGCCAGGAGUGAAAGCCGGGGGCUCAACCGCGGGAUUGCCCUUGGAACUGCGAGGCUAGAGUUCAGGAGGGGCAGGCGGAAUUCCUGGUGUAGCGGUGAAAUGCGUAGAUAUCAGGAGGAACACCGGUGGCGAAGGCGGCCUGCUGGACUGCAACUGACGUUGAGGCCCGAAAGCGUGGGGAGCAAACAGGAUUAGAUACCCCUGUAGUC
rnacentral:rRNA from 1 species